rnacentral:lncRNA from 1 species
AUGGUGAUUUUUUUAAAGAUAGUUUUUGGGCCUGCUCUGAUUCUAUGUUAUUCUCUGGCGUUUUCUAGUGGGCGGACUUGGAGGCUGCUGGCCUGGGAAUGCCAGUGGGUCAGAGCGUGGCUACAGCACCGUGAAAUGGAGCACCUGCCCCCAGUCCUCUCAGCGUGUGCAGGCCUGGGCCUGUGUGGGGGAACCUGUGGCCCUGUCCUCUCUGCUGAGGCAAUCAAGGGUGGUGUCUGGGAGCACACCUGUCCCCUGGCACCUGCCAGGUGUCUGUCAGACCUCAGCCAUUACUGGGCUGCCUCAGCCCUGCACUCCCCCACUGCUGGAUGUGUGGCAGAUGAGGCACUUCACUUCAGUCUGUGUCUUGAGGCGGUGCCCAGGCCUUCCUGCUGCACCAAGGGAUUUCCCUUGUUUCUCACUGACAAAAUGUUGCUGUUCUGGAAGAUGCACUGGAUAUUGGCUAAUAAGUUAGAUGCAACUGUUUUUUUUUAAGAAAACCUGUAUUGAUCACAGCUGCACUAAUAACAGAGGAAGUCAUUCAGAAAAACAAGUGGCCAACAGGGGAAAGUUGUGGUUCCCUAAACAGAAGACUUCAUUCUGGAAAAACAGCCUUUACUCCAAGGAAUGCAGUCAUCUUACCUCAUUGGAGUUGUUAUAGAAAAACUCAUCCUCAUCACCAGGUUUGUGUGCAUAUAGGGAAGGGAAGCAGGAGCAAUUAGGGCUGUUCAGCUCACUGUAUAGACA